CAGAUUCAUGUCCUGCUUAUGAUGUGGACCCCAGAGCCCGGACACAGAACGCCAGAACUGGUAUGCUACGAGAUACGAUGAUGCGCUCACACUUAAAUGGACCCCAGUGUCUAAGGUAAGAAGG